CACAUCGCGAAGCAGGAGCCACCCUGGGAUUCCUCAGAUGAAAGCCGAUUUCAAUGAACAUUGUGUUUCAAAGCCUGCUUCCUCUGGCCCUGUAAGGGCUGCAGAAGGAACGAACAUCCCACUUGCGUCUGCCGACACAAAAGAAUGCUGUGGCUGGGAGAUCUUAUCGAGCCUUCCUGUGCCACAGCAACAGAGCUCCGGUUGUGUCUCCUAAGAAUUGCUCAUUGUUUCAUGGGGACGACUGGCUCCUUUGGGUGGGAUCUGAUGGCAUCUCAUGGAGUUGGAGCAGAGAAGAAAUCACGAAGCUAAAAUAGAAACCAGGGGAAGAUGGAGGUGCUUCAAGGUGGCAACCGUGGUACAAAAGUGAGGAAACCAUCAUGAUUAAAUCUACCUCCCUACUCCAGAGAAGUCAGAAGUUAUCACCAGGGUCAGAGAGAAUCAGAGAAGGCCAUGGAAUGAAUGACGAGGAAGAGGAGGUGUGUUUCACCACAUACACAGGAUCUGAAAAGCCUCUGAAACUUAAGGCAUGUCUGACUCAUGAUAUCAGCCCUCCCUUACUUUUCUGAAAUAAUCCACAACUGUCAAGCAUUUUGUCUUAUUUGUAUUCUCAGUCCUUACUGAUGCCUGAAAACUCACGGUGCUUUGGCAGCAAGUCACAGUGAUGUGAGAAAAGACAGUAAGCAUCACUACAGCUAGGUUCUCUCAGAUACUUCGGUGGGAUGGUGCUGUUCUCUGAAGUACACCUUCAUAAGUGCAUUUGCAUCCAUUUCACAUGAAGUUGCUAUUUGUUCCCCAGCACUAACUCGUGUUUUGUUCUGGGAGUGACAAACUAUGUCAAGGUCAUGACGUUUCUGUCUGCAGGAUAUUCCACCUUCUGUUGCUCAGUCAUGUGUGAACCUUGAGAGACAAAAAAAAAAAAAAAAAAAAAGGCAACAGAUUCGUGUAUUUGCUCUCACAACACACUUCUAGAAUCAAAAGAGUGAGUCAAACAGGACUCUCUACAGUGCAGCAGGAGAUCUAUAGUUCGUAACAAUUUAUUAUAUACUUUAUGAAGAAGAAGAAGAAGAAGAAGAAGAAGAAAGAGUUUAAGACUCUCAACGGUCUCUGUCUCUCUGUCUUUCUGUUUCUCUCUGUAUCUGUCUGUCUCUUUCUUUCUCUUACACACACACAUAGAGUGAGAAAUGUUAAAGGAGAUGGAAAUACUGGUUACAAUAAUUUGAUCAUAAAACAUUGUAUAGGUGCAUGCUGUACCUCACAAAUGCAUACAACCUUUUAAAGGGUACAAAAAAGUGAUAGUCUUCUUAAACACAUCUUCUUUUAGGUUCUCAUCUUGCCGUUCUGAAAUAAUGUUCAUAGAUGCUUUCGCUAGAGUAGGCUGUGUGUUAGAUCUUUUUUUAAAUUUUUUUUUGUCUUUUUUUUCAUUUUUAUCAUGCAGAUGAAAAGGAUCGAACUCACGACUGCCUGCUUGCAAGGCAGGUACUUAUGCCGCUGAGCUAAAUGUGUGUUAGAUCUUAAUUCUCAGAAACCAUGGAGAUUGUACUCUUAGCAGCUUAUUUAUGUGCGUUUUGAGUGUGCCAGCCUUUAUUAACUCUUUGGUACACUAUUUGGUAAUAUUAACAAUUUAUUCAUAGCUCAAUGUUAGUUUUUGUAGGGAACCAGACUUCACUCAGUCCUCUGAGAAAUUGUCAUUGCAUACCUUUAGGAAGCAACAGAAACUGGAUGGCAUAAGAACUGACCUCAUUUCUGGCUGUGCUGGCGCAUCAUGCUUGGUAACUUCCUUUCCUGGUACCUCUCUCCUGAGCUGGGACCCUGAGUGCCCCACACCUGCAUCUGAUGCUCCUGGGAAGCCUAGAUAUGGAUAGGAGAUGGAGCCAGUGAGAGGUUGGCUUUGCUCUGCCCUUCCACACAUGACCAAAACAUAUUUGCUUUGUCUAGGUCUUGAGUCACCGUAGGGUUAGGGAAUAGACCUGCCCUUGUGUUUAAUCACCUGUCUUUCCUGUAACACAAUAACUUGAAAUACUAUUCAAUAAAAAGUACAACUCUCCUAUAAGUUUUCUGAAAUGUUUUCUAUAGAAAGAUUGCUGUUUCUUUAAUUAAUUUUAAGCAUUUGUUUAUUGGUCCCCCCAAAUGAAUGCAAAGAUGAGAAGUUUUAAAUUUUAAAUAUCCUGAAAGGUUGCAGUCCUGGUUAAAUUUUUGCACAAGACAAGUCAUAGACAAUUACAGAGAAGCAACCAUAUUCUUAGAAAGCUUCUCAUUCCAGACUCAACUGGGUCAGUCCUGAGGUUAUUCUGGGAGCUGAGUACUUUAUUCACUUUCUGAAUCAGAUUCUGACACAUAUUUUUUACACUGUCUUGGUCUUUUUUUGAAAAACUGACAGGCAUACGGAAAAGUUAAUAGCUUGGUGAAUAUAAUGUGCUUAUGUCUGCAAACAAUAGAGAUGUUGAAAAGGUGCCCUAUUUUUUUUUACUGUGAAUCUUCCUAGGAGCAUUAAAAAUGCAAACUCAAAGCUGACAUUAAAAAAGUGCAAGAGUUUGUGGCCCUUCUAUCUUCAUUUUCAUUUAGUCAUGCAAUGUUUUAACUUUUUUGAGACAAAACCACUUAGAUCUCAGGCCCAGAUUAUGUAUUAGACAAUUUGAUCUAUAGAAUUAAAAGGGGGGAUAAGAUUCUUGGGAAAAUAUAGUUUCUGUGAAAUAUAAGCAUAUUUGAUCAACACGACUAUUUACACAUUAUUUCUGUACUAAUAUAAAGGUAAAGCUGAGGUGGUUGUCAUCUGAAUGACCUGAAGGCCUUUUAUCAAUGCUUCAUAAAUGCAAAUGAGAUGAUACAACUUAAGGAGCUAUGAACAAGACUGACCUAAAUAAUAGGGUUGUUUUGUCACUAAUAAUUUCUUGUUUUGUACAAUUCUUGCAGUGAUGUUUCAGUAUGUUUUUGUAAAAUAGCUGCCAAACUAUGAAAAUUGCCUGAUAGUUCAUAAAACAAUUCGUCAUCUUCAAAUUAAACAUGAGUACAUUGUUUUAUGGCAUGAAAAGUCCCGUUCCUUAGACUGCUAUCCCAUCUGUCCACACUUCUCUGACAAUUUUCCACAAGGAGAAAGACAAUUAGAAAGACAAUUUAGAAAGACAAUUUUUGAAGGGGUGUGUAAACUCAUGGAAAGAACAGAAACUCUUCCUGUUAACAGGUUUUGAUGUGAUCAAUGGGAUCACAUCAACGGGGCAGAUUCCCUUCCGGAAGAUUUUGCCUGGAAUCCUCUUUCUCCAUUUGUGCAUAGCUGCCACGUUCUUGUCCUGUUUGAAGGUCACCCUGGAAUGAUCUUUCCGACCAUUGAAUCUAAUUGCAUAUUUGAUUGUAUAAUUGUCCAUGCAGCACUUACUGCUGAUACCUCAGGGUUCGAUUUGUGUAGUGAUAAUCUCCUUUGACUUGAAGAGCGUAAACUGUGUUCCACUCAUGCUAUAAUCCAUCACCUUGAGUGAUGUUGGCAGGUGUUAUGAUUUCAGCUGUGUCUCCCAAGCUGUGCUUUUGUUAAUGUCCUAACCCACAAUAUCUCAGAAUAACCUUGUUUGGAAUAUCUUCUGCAGAUAUAGUUAAGAUGUGGUCAUAAGGAAUAAGAUGUGUCCACAAUCCCCAAAGAUAACUACUCUCAUAAGAAAAGGAGAGAGAAGCACACAAAAAAACACUGUGUGGAACACAGACACCUGGAUAAGUUGGCCACGUGAAAAGGAGGCAGAGACUGGAAUCUUACAGCCACAAACCAAGGCACUGUGGGUACAAGAAGUCUGAAGAAGCAAACCAGGACCAUUCCCCAGAGCUUCCAUACAGCAAGGCCCUGUCAGCACCCCAAUUUUCCCUUCAGAUCUGAGGAUGACGUUCUGCCUUUGAGCCAGCACCAAAUAUCUGCUUUGAAAAUGAAACUAAAAAAAAUAUAUUUUUGUAAGCAAAACACACUGUAAACAUACCACCAUUCUACUGUAGCUUGUUAUUUUGGUCUGAAAUAAUACUGCUAAAAUUUUAUCAGCAAUAUGUGUAGGAGAAAGAUUUUUACCAUAAUUUUGUGCUCAUUAUUUCAGUAAAUUUGUAAGAUUCAGCUGGCAUCAUUCAAUAAUUUAAAAAUGCAUUACAUUUUUUUCUGUUUUGUUUUGUUUUUUCUUUUUUCUUACUUUUUUGCAAUAAGGAUAGUAUACAUUUGAUGCCCUGUAGAGAAUGUGCUAGUUGAACGGAAGCCAACUCUAGUCUUUCAAGAGAAAUUUACACGCCACUCCCAGGUGGGAAGAUUGAAAAACAAAACAAGAAGAAUCAGUGUCAAAAAUGAUGAAGAAAGAUAUUCUGGGGUCACAAUUCUCAACAUUUGCAUGACCAAAAUGAAGAGAGCUAAGAAAAUACAAAUCAAGGCCAGGCAUAGUGGUACAUGUCUGUAAUCCCAGCUUUUGGAAGGCUGAGGCAGGAGGAUUAUAGAAUGAAUUUGAGGCCAGCCUGGGCUACAAAGUAAGUUCAAGGACAGCCUGCUGAACUGCAUAGUAAAACCCUGUCUUAGAAACACAAAAACAAAACAAAACUAAACAAAACCCACACAAAUUCAAAAUACAUUCGCUGUUAAAAUUGAUUUUUAGUGAAUAUUUUUAAAAAUUUGAAAUCACUUAAAGAAUAGUCAUAUGCAUAUGUGCACAUGUGUGGGACCUGACAAAUUUUUAUUAUGAAGCCCUUUGUAAAGCUACUAUAGCAAGAAGAUCUUCGAUUUAUACCAAAUAACAUCUCACAGAUCAGUGAUAGUUUCUUCUUUUGGUCUUUGAUAACAUAAAAACAAGUUCUUCGGAAGGGUUAUUGUCCUGUAAUUGCAAUUUACUUGCCUGUACGUAAUACAUAGAAUUAAACACAAAGAAGCAAAUGGAUGUACUCAAAACAAAGAGCAGGCUUUGCAGAGAGUCCCGUGCAGGGUUGGGAGUAUUUCCUGACACUAGAUGAGAAGCAUUCACAUCAUGGUUUGUCAUCUAUACUGUCUGGCCCGGUGUCUCCUAACUUCCUGGAAUAAAACUAAACUAAGCAAAACAAUAAAAAUGUCAAUUCUCUGUGUUUUGGAAUUCCAAACUCCUCUUACUGGAACACUAAAUCUUUCAACGUUACUGGAUAAUGUGCCUUCAAAAUUAACAGCGUUUUUAUGGUUUGUUUUUAAAGGGUAGUGUUUUGAGCACGCAUCACAUAUACUUUAACAGCUGAUUUUAAAUAUUACUCUCAGCUUCUGUUAAUCUUUGCAUUAAAAGCAAAAUAUUGACUCAUUAAAAUUAACCUUUGAUUUUAAUUCUGUAAAUGCCUCCAAAAACUUACUUUCUCUGAAAUUUUAAUGGAGUUUUGCAUGUGAGUGCGUAAUAGGGAAAAAAGCAAUAUAAAACCAGUUGUAACUUUAUUCCGUGAAUUUAUCAUUCAUGCCUUCCAAAUAGACUUGUUACCCAAAUGAUUUGCAAAUCUGAUUCAGUGUUUUCAUUUAUAAGGAAGACUAUCUUCUAAAGAAGGGGUUGUAUUUUGUCAGAACUAUUACCAAUAACCAUAUUACCAUCACAUUUUUCAGUUUGUUCAAGAUCCAGCAUUAUCUGUUGGUUGGCAAGAUGCCACAGUGUACAGAUCGUUACAGUUGGAAUAGCUGGUUCAGUUCUGCAAGAACUGGGGGAUUCAUAUCAUCAGGGGAGAACUUCUGUGUGCUAAGCUUUCAUGACAUGUAGACUGACAGAGUAACAAAAUAGUAUUGUUACAGAAAUCUGAAUAAAUCCAUUAAAGCCUUUGCUUUCCCA